rnacentral:rRNA from 1 species
GCUGCUCACUUUAUGCUUGCUGGUAGUGGUUCUGUAGCCAGGUGGCUGAAGGUCUAUGAAGAGCGCGGAGAAGCUGGUUUACGCGCGCUCAAGAUUGGCACCAAAAGAAACAUUGCAAUAUCAGUUGAUCCAGAAAAAGCGGCAUCAGCAUUGGAGCUGUCAAAAGACCGACGCAUUGAGGAUCUUGAAAGGCAAGUUCGAUUUCUUGAAACGCGGCUUAUGUAUC